GACGAACGCUGGCGGCGUGCCUAACACAUGCAAGUCGAGCGGGGUUGAAGCGAGGGGUAACUCGGACUUCUACCUAGCGGCGGACGGGUGAGUAACGCGUGGGCAACCUGCCUCAAGGUUUGGGAUAACAGCUCGAAAGGGCUGCUAAUACCGGAUAUGCCUGUGGCCUCGCAUGGGGCUAUGAGCAAAGGGGAAACCCGCCUUGAGAUGGGCCCGCGUCCCAUCAGCUAGUUGGUGAGGUGAAGGCUCACCAAGGCGACGACGGGUAGCCGGCCUGAGAGGGUGACCGGCCACACUGGGACUGAGACACGGCCCAGACUCCUACGGGGGGCAGCAGUGGGGGAUCUUGCACAAUGGGCGAAAGCCUGAUGCAGCGACGCCGCGUGAGCGAAGAAGGCCUUCGGUUGUAAGACUCUGUCUGGAGGGACGAAGAAAUAGACGGUACCUCCGGAGGAAGACCACGGCUAACUACGUGCCAGCAGCCGCGGUAACUCGUCUCUA
rnacentral:rRNA from 1 species